GACGAACGCUGGCGGCGUGCUUAACACAUGCAAGUCGAACGGAAAGGCCCUGCUUUUGUGGGGUGCUCGAGUGGCGAACGGGUGAGUAACACGUGAGUAACCUGCCCUUGACUUCGGGAUAACUUCAGGAAACUGGGGCUAAUACCGGAUAGGAGCUCCUGCUGCAUGGUGGGGGUUGGAAAGUUUCGGCGGUUGGGGAUGGACUCGCGGCUUAUCAGCUUGUUGGUGGGGUAGUGGCUUACCAAGGCUAUGACGGGUAGCCGGCCUGAGAGGGUGACCGGCCACAUUGGGACUGAGAUACGGCCCAGACUCCUACGGGAGGCAGCAGUGGGGAAUAUUGCACAAUGGGCGGAAGCCUGAUGCAGCAACGCCGCGUGCGGGAUGACGGCCUUCGGGUUGUAAACCGCUUUCGCCUGUGACGAAGCGUGAGUGACGGUAAUGGGUAAAGAAGCACCGGCUAACUACGUG
rnacentral:rRNA from 1 species